UACAGAGGGUGCGAGCGUUAAUCGGAAUUACUGGGCGUAAAGCGCGCGUAGGCGGCUUUGCAAGUCGGGUGUGAAAUCCCCAGGCUCAACCUGGGAACUGCAUUCGAGACUGCAUUGCUAGAGUAUGGGAGAGGGAAGUGGAAUUUCCGGUGUAGCGGUGAAAUGCGUAGAUAUCGGAAGGAACAUCAGUGGCGAAAGCGACUUCCUGGACCAAUACUGACGCUGAGGCACGAAAGCGUGGGGAGCAAACAGG
rnacentral:rRNA from 1 species